AGCGUGCAGGUGUAGUCAGGCUGCCCUUUGGGGUAUCGUGGGGGCGGCUUGGAAGGCGUCGGGACCUCCCCGGUGCCAGGUUAGCGCCCGAGUAAGAAGAACACGGCUUAAUCCCAUUCGGAGGGCUUUUGCAGAGGUUAAUGGCCAGUAUACUAUACAUAUCUCGAAAGGAACUCAUGACCCAGAGGUACCUCCAAAACAACUCCAGGCAAUGAGCAAUAGAUAUACAGAUUCUAUCAGAAGAUAAAAUAUCUGACUGGAAACCAUAUAUUGGACCGCAAAGAUGGCCUCAUUACUACUUUAUUACUUAAGG